rnacentral:lncRNA from 1 species
AUUUAUUUCAAUCAAACGAUCAGUUCACCUACAAUUUGGGUGAUUGAUUCCGGAGUGACAAGCCAUAUUUGUUCAAACCAAUAUGCGUUUAACACUUUGAGACAAAUUCAAAAUACAUUUGUUACUUUGCCUAAUCGUGACAAAAUCCCUGAUUCAAUUUAUUGGAAAUGUGAAGAUAUCGUCUGAAUUGAUUCUUAAGGAUGUAUUGUUUGUGCCUCAAUUCAAAUUGAACUUGCUGUCAGUAAGUGCUUUAACAAGAAAGUCUUCAUUAAGUGUCAGUUUUCUCACUGAUAGUAUUCAAUUCCUGCCAACAUUGAAGACGAUUGGCAAGGGUAAAAGAGCUGGAGACCUCUAUAUAAUUGAUGUAUGUUCCUUUAGUUCAAUGAAAAAUAAUGUUGCUAGUUCAAAUAACUCCUGUAAUUCUACUAACUCUUUUCCUUCUGCUUUAAUUGGAUCAACUCCUGUUAUGAGCUCUUGUAAU